rnacentral:rRNA from 1 species
GCCCCGCAAGGGGAGUGGCAGACGGGUGAGUAACGCGUGGGAAUCUACCGUGCCCUACGGAAUAGCUCCGGGAAACUGGAAUUAAUACCGUAUACGCCCUACGGGGGAAAGAUUUAUCGGGGUAUGAUGAGCCCGCGUUGGAUUAGCUAGUUGGUGGGGUAAAGGCCUACCAAGGCGACGAUCCAUAGCUGGUCUGAGAGGAUGAUCAGCCACAUUGGGACUGAGACACGGCCCAAACUCCUACGGGAGGCAGCAGUGGGGAAUAUUGGACAAUGGGCGCAAGCCUGAUCCAGCCAUGCCGCGUGAGUGAUGAAGGUCUUAGGAUUGUAAAGCUCUUUCACCGAUGAAGAUAAUGACGGUAGUCGGAGAAGAAGCCCCGGCUAACUUCGUGCCAGCAGCCGCGGUAAUACGAAGGGGGCUAGCGUUGUUCGGAAUUACUGGGCGUAAAGCGCACGUAGGCGGAUAUUUAAGUCAGGGGUGAAAUCCCAGAGCUCAACUCUGGAACUGCCUUUGAUACUGGGUAUCUUGAGUAUGGAAGAGGUGAGUGGAAUUCCGAGUGUAGAGGUGAAAUUCGUAGAUAUUCGGAGGAACACC